rnacentral:misc_RNA from 1 species
UCCUCAUCGCAGUUUCUCUGAAGAAGUUUCUGUCUUGGAUAGUUAUUUUGGGAAGCUAGGUACUGGCAGCAAGGCUUAUAUAAUGGGUGGGAUUGACAGCCCACAGAAAUGGCAUAUGUACUCUGCAUCUGCUGCUGAUUCUACAAUCUCUUGUGACCAUGUUUACACUAUAGAGAUGUGCAUGACUGGUUUGGACCGAGAAAAGGCUUCUGUUUUUUACAAA